AAGGGAAAGCUGUGGAGCAGAGAGCCCCGAUGCUCUCCACAAGGAUCUCCUUCCCCGCAUAAAGGACAGAGCCCCCGGCUAGACAGAGCGCUCAGAGCUGCCCGGCUGCUCGGCAGCGACUUGGUGUGAAGAAUCAACUGGCCACACGAACGAGUCCCUUGAUCGCAGCCACGGUCACACCAGGCCAGUGGAAGAAGGCAGGAGAAAACUUUCCUUCUGUAAAACUGAGCAGAAACUGUCCCAGAAGGUCCAGCUACUUGAAGAGGCUACGUCCUGCUCCCCACCAGUAUGGCCCAGUAUCUCAGCUGUUAGAAGUAAGCAUCCCUCUGCUCGAGAGAGAAGAUAUAGUGGAUACGCACCACGGGCCACCCUGUGGUUUUUACCUGCGUGACCACGGGGAGAACAUGUGGACACGGGGUGGAAAAUCUACCUUGACCCUACAAGCACAUGUAUGUGAGCUGCAAAAAAAAACCAAAGACCAAAGGGGGUUCUUCCAGGAAAAUUGCUGCUCCAGUCUCCAGUUCUCCAGACAGCGUAGAAGGGCUGAUCUUACUUCUGAUCUUAAUGAAGGGACUUCUGGUUUGUAUUGACAAGAAAUAAGCAGCGAAUAGCCGCAAAACAUGGGGUUUGUUCCUCUCUUUUUUGUUGUUUUCCUUUUCAUUACUACUACUACUAUUAUUAUUAUAAUAUUUCAAUUAUUAAACUGCCUUUAUCUUAA